UACGAAGGGGGCUAGCGUUGCUCGGAAUUACUGGGCGUAAAGCGCACGUAGGCGGUCUUUUAAGUCGGGGGUGAAGUCCUGGAGCUCAACUCCAGAACUGCCUUCGAUACUGGAAGACUUGAGUCCGGGAGAGGUGAGUGGAACUGCGAGUGUAGAGGUGAAAUUCGUAGAUAUUCGCAAGAACACCAGUGGCGAAGGCGGCUCACUGGCCCGGUACUGACGCUGAGGUGCGAAAGCGUGGGGAGCAAACAGG
rnacentral:rRNA from 1 species